rnacentral:misc_RNA from 1 species
UGUAUUCCACUGCUGCUGCUGUC